rnacentral:lncRNA from 1 species
GAGGAGCCCGAUGAAAGCGAUGGCAGCUCCCAAGGCUGCUGUGGUCCUGCAGCCGAUGCGGUCAGUGAAGAUGCUCACGAUGGGAGAGCAGAAGAAAAUCAUGCCCAUGGCCAAAGAGCCAACCCAUGCUGUUUUAAACUCCAGCGUGGGGUCCUUCUCGUCCUCGCCCAGGUCGCUCUGCAACAUGGUGUAGAUGAUCCCGAAGGAGUUGUGGAUGCCGAAGAUGGAGCCAUUGCACCAGGCGGCGGCGAAGACCACGACCCAGCCGAAGCCGCCCUCGGGAGGCUGGAAGGGCGCGGCGGCCCCGCUCGGCCCCCGCUCGGCCCCGGCCCGGGGCUCUCCCUCCCCGCCCUCCUCCGCCGGCCCCCGCUCGCCGCCCUCCUCCCCGCGCUGCGCCAUCGCGGCCGCGCUCCGGCCGCCGCCCGCCG